GACGAACGCUGGCGGCGUGCUUAACACAUGCAAGUCGAACGGAAAGGCCCUGCUUUUGUGGGGUGCUCGAGUGGCGAACGGGUGAGUAACACGUGAGUAACCUGCCCUUGACUUUGGGAUAACUUCAGGAAACUGGGGCUAAUACCGGAUAGGAGCUCCUGCUGCAUGGUGGGGGUUGGAAAGUUUCGGCGGUUGGGGAUGGACUCGCGGCUUAUCAGCUUGUUGGUGGGGUAGUGGCUUACCAAGGCUUUGACGGGUAGCCGGCCUGAGAGGGUGACCGGCCACAUUGGGACUGAGAAACGGCCCAGACUCCUACGAGAGGCAGCAGUGGGGAAUAUUGCACAAUGGGCGGAAGCCUGAUGCAGCAACGCCGCGUGCGGGAUGACGGCCUUCGGGUUGUAAACCGCUUUCGCCUGUGACGAAGCGUGAGUGACGGUAAUGGGUAAAGAAGCACCGGCUAACUACGUG
rnacentral:rRNA from 1 species